GAAACAGCUAGAGUAGGAGAUGGUUUUUCUAUGUGAUAUGAAGCUCACUAGCAUCUUGGGUGUUACGACAGAGGAAUAGCACAGGUCCAGGAAGGAUAAGUUGCUAAGGAAGAAAUACAUUGGCGUCUGAAGCUGAGAGCAAGUCCUCACGAUUACAAUGAUCCCAGCAUUCCCCAAUACUGUGAUAAUGUAGAUCAUCAAGAAGACUAUGAAGAGGAUGAUUUUCAGUUCAGAUCGAUCUGUGAGUCCCACAAGAAUGAACUCGUUCACUAUAGUGCAGUUGUCCCCAUCCAUGUGCACUUGCAAACAUACUGUUAUUUGAAAGGAUGAAAAUAAUAAAUUUCAGUGUCAUAGGUAGCAAAUCAGAUUUUGAAAAGCUGCUAUGAAAAAAAAACAAGAUUAUUUGACAUUCAAAAUCUCUUAGGAAAUAUCAUCAUUUUUUAGAAAAAAGGAGGAACUUGUCUGAGCAAUCUCCAGUUUGAUCCUUUAACUGAAAAUACACAGGUGUUGUUUCAGUUACUGUUCUUUCUCCUUUUUUUUUAAAAAAGACCCCCUUCUAAAUAUAUUUUUAUAUUGUGAGAAAAUUAAGAAUACUGAGCAGUGCAGAGGCACUAGAACAGCAGGAUAGAAUUUCCUAUAAACAAUAUAUAAAAACAAGAAGAAGAAUAAAAUGGGAGAAAGGGGAAAGGAAAUUGUAGGCCACUUUUAACAACUCCAGCAAUGAUGAGUUAUUUGGACUUAAGCUACACCCAGUCGACUUCAUUUAAACUCAGUAUCAUUUCCUCAAGUGCUGGGAAUUGAUGGUAGCACUGUUUUGUUCAUAUCCUGUUUAUGAGCUUCCCAUAAGGAUCUGGUUGCUUAGGCCAGGAUGCUGAAUAAGACAGGUCUUUGGUCAGAGCUCUUCUAAUGUUGUCGUUAAUGUAACAUACUGAUGUUACACGCCAAGCCAAUAAAGGAGUUCCACAUAUGGAAGCAAAAUUCCACAGAUGGAAUGUUCUCUAUAUAUGGACAUGGGCACCAGGUUAAGGAAUAUAAGAUGACAAAUCAUAUGGGAAAGAAGCAAAUCAUUUUCUUUACGUCAGCAUGGAUGUCUCUCACUGAUAAAUUUAGGUAGAAUAGUUAUCUCAUUUUUAGCCAUAAAUGCUUUAAAUUCAUUUUGAAUUCUCUGAGAAUCUGAGAACAACAUCAGCUUGUAUACCACAGUGGAGAAAAGGAGAGAUCUGUACUCACCACAGUUUCAGGCAACAAUUAAAGCAGCCAGGGAAGGGGGUAUAUUGAAGUUGGUUUCUUAAUUAUUAUUCUAGGUUAUUAUUCUAGGUCUGAAGUGCAUGCCUUCUUUUAGUCAUCAGAUUCCCAAAUGAAGAUGUAGUUAUUUUAUCUUGAAGAUCUGGGUUUGGGUAAACCCAUUGGGAUCCUUCCACCUGAUGGACCUCUGCAGUAAUAAGUCAAGCUGCUCUGUUAAUAAUUCUUUGUUUACCUUGUGACUUUGCCAAGAUGUUUUUGGUUUGAUAUGGAGGAAUCCCUAAAUAAUACACAGUGGAAAGAUAUUAUGGAUGAUACGAUUUUGGGUGCUUCACACUGACAGACCUCAUUGGAAGGGAAUAUAAACUUCCACAAACUGUUACAAAAAGUAGCUUUAUUAUACUGGCCUUUCUUUGUUGGUGAGGUGCCAGGAUUUUACAAGACAAAAAAGUAAUUUUCUCCAUACUGUACUUUAACAACAAAAUUCCUGUGGCGGUUCUAGCAUACAGAGAUUUGUUAGUACAAUCUCCCAUGGGGCACUAGCUAAUGAAAUAGUUGCUGGAUUCUCUGUUAGUGCCAUCUGUAACCAUAAAGGAAACAGAUUUUUGUGAAUUCUAAUAUUUACUUAUUUAUUACAUAGACCCUCUUCUUCACCCAAUUGUCCCAGGAUGAGUUACAAAAAUACCACAAAUAAAAUAGGUGCAAGUUAUAUUGAGUAUAUUAAAAUAAAUAUGCAAAAUAUGAUCGGAUCCUAAAGGACUACAGUUGGUGGGAAGCAAUCUGCCCCAUGGGAUAUGGCUUGGGAGCAGAUGAGAGCAUCUAAGAUGCUGCUUGAAAAACUGGCAAGGCAUUUUUUAAUAUUAAAAAAAAAGCUAGAGAAAAGAAAUGAACAUAAGAGCCCCACUGCAUCAGACCAAAGGCCCAUCUAGUCCAGCUUCCUGUUCUCAUUCUCUCCACUUUUGCUUCCUGGCAGCUGUCCAGUAUGAGAAGAUCAAUUGCCAUUUCCCCAUGAUUUGGAGAAUGAUUUUGGACCUGCACCUUAGAGAGGUUUACCUAUAACAACAAUGAGACCUCACAUAACCUCACAUAACCUAAACAGUUUGGCAUUGUGGUCUAUUGAUGAUGCCAAAAUUAACAAGCAGUACUUCUAGUACUAACAGUAUUCAUGGUCUUGAAAUACUAAUUUUGCCAGCUACGUUCCAAAGAGGACUCUCUUUUCUUCAAGUUCUUCCUCAGGAUCAAAACGUAAAUUGAAAGUAUGUUGAGAUUUUUAGGCUAGCAUCGUUUGCAUUAACCAGACUGUCUUCUUGUUCAAAGUCACCUUCCAGGGUAGGUAUUUGACAUAUACCCAGAAGCUGAUUAGUUUAACUCAGGAAUGGCUAACCUACAGCCCUCCAGAUGCUCCUGGACUAACAUCACCCCUGAUCAUUGACCAUAUUGGCUGAAACUGAUGGGAGUUGGGAGCCCAGCAGCAUCUGAAGGGACACAGGUUCUCCACCUCUAGUUUAACCCUUUAUUCAUGAUGAAACUAUGAAUUAUUGCUGAGAUGGACCUGAACCUUUUAUGAAAUGGUAUUACAGAGCAACACAUUUCCUCCGAGCAAUCAGCUUUAUGGGAAUUUUCACAUUUGAAAAAGUCAAGUGUACCCCAAGGGCAUGUAGUUUGGUUUGUGUAUGAAGGACUCAUUGUCAAGUGCAGACUGGGAUGGCAGACUCUAGACUCUAGAGCAGCGGUUCUCAACCUGUGGGUCCCCAGAUGUUGUUGGACUACAACUCCCAUCAUCCCUGAGCUCUGGCCUUGCUAGCUAGGGGUGAUGGGAGUUGUAGUUCAACAGCAUCUGGGGACCCACAGGUUGAGAAAGGAUGCUCUAGAGGGAAACAAGGCAGGUGAAAAGAAAUGAAGAAGCUGAGAGAGCAGAGUGAAUGCUGGACCAGAAGUCCAAGUAGAUUCUUCCCUUCAUGUGGGUGUGCUGUUGACGGUAUAUUUCCUAUUUUUCACACCUGGCGCUUAUUAUGAGGAAUCUCUGAACAUCUAUCAUGGAACUUUUGCACACUGCUUUAUUAUAUGUUUAGUUGUUGUUGCUUUUAAAAAAAAAACCCUGACCCUUUCUCCAAGCAGAAGGUAAAUUAUUAAUUUAUUUGCAGUGUUUAUGUACUGCCCAAUAAUUAAGGUUCUCUGGGUGUGUAGAGUAAACAUGGCCUCCUUGUUACCUUUUUAUCCUCACAGUGAUUCUAUGAGGUAUAUAGUAGUAUAUAUUCUAUAUUAUAAGUUGUAGAAUAUAGUAGAAUAUUUUAUAUUCUACUAUAGAAUAUUCUAUAUUCUACUAUAUUCUAUAUUCUAAGUAGAAUAUUCUAUAUACUAAAUAGUAGUGAUCGGCCCAAGAUCUCCCCAUGAAACCACUCUGGCUUUUGUGUUUCCUCACAAUCUUAAGAUCUCAUGUUCAUCUCCACAGCCCUCUCUCAUUGCAACCACACAUGAUUUGUGGUAUCUUCUACAUAUUUAUUGUAUGAGGCAAUCAUAGAUAAGCAAUUUAAGAAUAGGGCAUUACUUUCCUAGAGUUGACUUACUCUCUUUUAUUUAAAAAACAACAACUCAACAAUUUUGGGGGUUUCCUAAAAAAAUCUCAACAACUUUUGGGAUGUCCUGGUUUUUGCUUUUUGAAAUAUGGCACCCCUAAGCUACAAUGAGAACUUCCAGCUUAUAUUAUUUGCUGAACUUAUAUUGAUCCUUAAGAUCAUCAUAUAGGUAAAUGACAAGAGAGGCUACAUUUUUAUAAUUUUAAUAUUGGACAUGCAACACCAUACAUAGAUGCUAAUAAUGGACUAGCAAUAUAUAGCUCUUGUGGAAAUGUUUAGAAAUUGUUGCUAGCUACUCAUUUUGUUACAUACCUUCCUCUGAAUGCCUCCUAAGGCAUCCUUAACCUCCUUGUUUCUCAGGCUGUAUAUCAAGGGAUUCAGUAAGGGGAUGACAAUUGUGUAGAACACAGCAAGGGUUUUGUCCGUGACAUCUUGAAGAAACGAUCCACUGCCAGAGUUUGGUCGGAAAUGCAAGAUAAGAAUUGCCCCGUGGAAGAUGGUAACUGCAGUGAGGUGUGAGGUGCAAGUGGAGAACGCCUUGAGUCUACCUGCCCUUGAGCUGAUCCUCACAAUGUUGAUAAGAAUGUACAUAUAAGAGACGAUGACACUCAGGAUGGUGGUUCCUUCUACAAGCCCAGCCUCAAAAAAAAUCAGGCGUUCAUUGAUGUAAGUAUCCGAACAGGAAAGUGAUAAAAGCGCAGUGAUGUCACAAUAUACAUGAUUGAUUUCGUUUGAUUGACAGAAUGACAGCCUGAAGGUGAAGACUGUAUGGAGAAGAGAGUGCAGAAGCCCAAGAGCAUAGGACCCCACCACCAGAAGUGUACAGAUUUUAGGAGACAUGAGGACUGGAUACAGCAGUGGUUUACAGAUAGCCACAUAGCGAUCAUAUGCCAUUGCAGCCAGGAGAAAGCACUCUGUGCUCCCCAGACCUAUCACAAAGUACAUUUGCAAUGCACAUCCAGUGAGGGAAAUGGUCUUUUUAUCUGCCAAGAGAUUCACAAAAGUCUUAGGGGCAACCACAGAGGAGAAGCAUGCAUCGAGGAGAGAGAGGUUGCUGAGAAAGAAGUACAUUGGAGUGUGGAGCUUGGGACAGGCUCUUAUUAACACAAACAGUCCUAGAUUUCCCACCAAAGUAGCAAUAUAAAUAGCAAGGAAGACUAGAAAGAG